GGGGGCGAAAUAGGAUCGACGUACCUAAUAAAAAGAUUGCUUUUACUCGGGAUGAUUCCGCCGAUGGCUUUUGCCAUAUGGGUCAAAACAAAGAAACGCAAACGAUAAUAAUCGUUCUGUAGAUUUAGCUCUAGCAGCUUAAUCCUACGCGGCUGGGGGUUUGCCGGGCAACAGAAAAACCCCAUA
rnacentral:tmRNA from 2 species